AAGAGCCGCAGUACACUGACUGUGCAAAGGUAGCAAAAUAAUUUGUCUCCUAAUUAGAGACUAGAAUGAAUGGUCUGACGAGGAAAAAUCUAUCUCAAACCUAAAUUUUAAAUUGACAUUUAAGUAAAAAGGCUUAAAUAAUCCAGCAAGACGACAAGACCCUAUAAAACUUUACCUUUUAUUUUAACCAAUUCUAAGAAAUAUAAUUUUAAGGGUUUAACUGGGGCGGUAUUUAUAUAAUUCUAAACUAUACAAACCUCACCAUAUAUAAAUGAAUAAAUAAAUCUCUCAUAAGACAUAACAAAAGUUACUUUAGGGAUAACAGCAUAAUACUCUUAAAGAGCCCAAAUCGACAAGAGUGAUUAUGACCUCGAUGUUGAAUUGGAAAACCAUCUAAAAGC
rnacentral:rRNA from 1 species